rnacentral:lncRNA from 1 species
GUCAGUAUAUAUCUAGUCACUCCAGGGAAAGUUAAAAAGAGCUGUUAGCUCUUUAAUUUCCUCUAUGCCAGGUAAUUUAUAUAUUAUAUUUUUUGUAGUAAGUGGUGGUAAGUUUCUCCUAUUACAAAUGGGGAAAUUGAGGUUCACAACAUAUGUGAUUUUCCACAAGUCACAUGUCUACCAGAUGAUGGAAUCACCCUGUCCAAAUUCAGGUGCUUCUUCAACUAAUGGUGAUAAUGAGAGGAUUAUCAAAAGCUACAAGGUACAGUUAUGCCAUGAUGUGUCCAUUUCCCUCUCUUAUCCCUGGUGGCAGAUGAUAGAGAAAUAGUAUUCUUGCUGAGAACAUUACAUUUUCUUUAAGACAUAUUUUAUUUUAAAGGUUAGUUGUGGAUUUUUAAUUUCAUGUGUUUAUAUAAAACAAAUAGGAUAUAAUUUAUUUGCCAAAUUUCAAAAUUGUAUUUGCCCUAUAUUUCAAAUAUCACCUGGCCCAUGGUAUCCAUAUUUGAGAAGCAAAUAAUUAGGAUGACUUGUAGUAUCAGGGGUUUUGAGGGAAGUUAUGCAGGGAGAUUCAUUAAUAUUAUUGUCUGUGGAAUUGGUAAUGCUUAGAAUUGUGGGCACAUAACCUCUGAAUCCAUAUUUAUCAUCUAUGAGUAUGUAAGGAUUUUUUUUAUAAAUGUUACUAGCAGGAGUCCUAAAUUUGUCAUGAUUACCAAUGUAUGUCCAAUACCUAGCAUGAUGUCUGGUCAAUAUGAAUGUUUUUUAAUAUUAUUGUUAUGAAUGAACCGUUUCUGAAACACAUAAUAUAGUACAGACUAAGAAGUUUGUGAGAUAUAUUAUAUAUUACAUUUCUCACAAAUUUCUGUAGAAUAAGUUUUGAAAUAUUUCUGUAUCAUGUUUCUUUAGAUGUUGUAUAUUGGUCUUUGGUCUUUAAUCAGUUCAUUUUAUUCCAUUCCAAGCUUUCAGAUUAUACAUCAUUGGGGAUUGGGAUGGCCUCUAAUGAUGUGUAACAUUUAAGCUUACCUUUAUUUAACAUGGUAAAAAAAAUCUAAGCACAAGAAAAAAAAAUAGGGAUGGUAGUAUAAUAUGUGAGGAUUUUCAGAUAUCAGAGUAUGAUUGUGAUAGAGGAAGCUAUGGGAAGAACAGGGCAAGAUAUGGAAUCAGGAAAGUAAAAGUUUACAGUACUUUUAAAGUAUUAUAAAAGCUUAUUGAAAUAUACCAUCUGGUAGUGAGGAUCCAGCCAGAGAUUCUAAAUCUUUUAGUAUGAUUGAUGGAAAUCAUUUUUAAUGGAAUAAUAUUCCUAACUAAAGAAAGAAAAUCGGAGAGGAAAUUCUUUUGUUUCUCCAGCCAUCUUCUUACAUCAAAGCAAUUAUGUUAGAAAUUAAGAAUCUUUGCUUUAUAGAUAUCUACAUUAAGCACAUGCAGAAGUGUUACUACAUUUUUUCUAAAAUUUAUCUUUUUAAUGCCUGAAUAAAACAGACGGAAAUAAUGAUACUUGCACAUUGGAGAGAUAUAUUUGUCUAUGAGUCAAAAGCAUUGCUAAGAUUAGAAACCAGAUUCUCCGAGUUCAUUUAUAAUGUUUCAUCUGAAAAAAUAUCAGUAAUUGUAUUUUCCUUAUAUUUUGUGAAUCUCUAAAAAUAACGUAGUAUGUAUAUUGUUUGACUCUGGCACCUAGUUUGGAAUUGUUUGAGUGGCUCCCUUCACACUCUGCCAACUCCUCUGUUCUUGUCUCAGUUUAUAUCUUAGCUUUUAGUCACUAUUAAAUAUGGUUUUCUAGAGCAAUGCUUCUUCAUCUUUUUUGUGUGUGUAUGUGGACUGAGAUACUUUAUAAAUUUGAACAAAGCUAUGGGCAUUCUUGCAAGACAAAUGCAGAUGUAUUUGUAUCAUUUUCAGCCAGUUUCAUGAAGCUCCUGGUUAAAAAACAAAAGGCAAGCUGACACUAUAUAACAACAUAAAUAUUUUAUUUAAGUGUCCUAUGUAUAUUUAUAUUAGACUGCUUAUAUUGCUUUUAUGUAAUUAGUAAGUGAAAUUGAGAGUAUUUAAAGAUGUUUAAACCCAGAGCAUGUGAAUAUGGGUCACACACAAAAAUUGAAACAAAGCGUAAUAUGCAAGUAGAUAUUCUCAGACCUGUUCAGCAGAAGGGCAGAUUGUUAGAUGUAAUAUGCUUAUUGACAAUCUCUUACAAUGGUGCAAUGAACCAGCAAACACCACAAAAGUAAUGAAUCCUUUCCUUUUUAAGUAAUUAUAUUUGAACAGUUCAAAUUAACCUGUGGUUUGAGGCUACUCCUUGGGUGAACUAAUUUGCUGAUGUAAUGACUUUUCCCAUUUUUGCUCCAAUGAUCUGGGUAAGAAAGGAAGAAAAAUGAGCAUAUAAGACUAUAAGUUUAUACCUUAGUGAAAAAAAAAUGCUGUUUUCUCCAAGUCACAUUUGGAGACUAUUUCUGACUGAUCUAAUGUAGGACACGGUAGUUAAAAUGUCAAACUAAAAACAAACGAAAUUUCUGCCAUGCUAUGUGGCAGUACUGUGAAUAAAACAAACAGAAUUGAAAAAGAAAGAUAGUUUGUGAAAACUAUUAUAAAGAUUCACCAAUCUUUUCAAACAACAGACCACUGUUCUGUUGGCUAUCACUGCUCAUUAGUGCUUGAAAUCUGAGUUUUCAGGACCCUGCUGCUUUUCCUGAUGCCUAAGACGGUGACACCAUGCUGACAUUAUUGAGCUAUUAUUUUUAAAUAAUGCUAUAUCAUUACCUCUGUGUCCCUGCCAUUAUUAUACAUAGAUGNNNNNNNNNNNNNNNNNNNNNNNNNNNNNNNNNNNNNNNNNNNNNNNNNNNNNNNNNNNNNNNNNNNNNNNNNNNNNNNNNNNNNNNNNNNNNNNNNNNAUGCUAUAUCAUUACCUCUGUGUCCCUGCCAUUAUUAUACAUAGAUGUUCAGUAAUGAGACUCAAAGUAAAAUCUCAGGGGAGGUUAGGCAAGAUUUAAUAGCACCUAGGACAAUUCCUUGCACAUGGUUAGGACUCAGUAAAUAUUAGUAGAGAGAAUAUGUGACUUAAGAAUAGAUAAAGUAGGUCUGCUGAAUCUUCAGGUUCUGCAUCUUCGGAUUCAACUCUAAUUAGCACUAGGUUGAAUCUUUGGACUUGAAAACACAGAUAUGGGAAAAGUGACUGCUUUCACUGGACUAAACAAUUUUAUGUAAGGGAAUUGAGCUUCUGCAGAUGUUAGUAUGCAUCAGGGAGCUCCUGGAACCAAUCAGUCCUCAGCGGAAUAUCAAUGGAAAACU